GACGAACGCUGGCGGCGUGCUUAACACAUGCAAGUCGAACGGAGUGGCGAACGGGUGAGUAACACGUGGGUGACCUGCCCUGCACUUCGGGAUAAGCCUGGGAAACUGGGUCUAAUACCGGAUAGUGUGGGAUGGGCCCGCGGCCUAUCAGCUUGUUGGUGGGGUAAUGGCCUACCAAGGCGGCGACGGGGAGCCGGCCUGAGAGGGUGGACGGCCACAUUGGGACUGAGACACGGCCCAGACUCCUACGGGAGGCAGCAGUGGGUAAUAUUGCACAAUGGGCGGAAGCCUGAUGCAGCGACGCCGCGUGGGGGAUGACGGCCUAUGGGUUGUAAACUGCUUUUAUAUGGGGAAAGGUACCAUAUGAAUAAGGACCGGCUAAUUCCGUGCCAGCAGCCGCGGUAAUUC
rnacentral:rRNA from 1 species